GCUCGCCUACAUGAAGUCGGAAUUGCUAGUAAUCGCGGAUCAGCAUGCCGCGGUGAAUACGUUCCCGGGCCUUGUACACACCGCCCGUCACACCAUGGGAGUCGGUAACACCCGAAGCCUGUAGUCUAACCGCAAGGAGGACGCAGUCGAAGGUGGGAUUGAUGACUGGGGUGAAGUCGUAACAAGGUAGC
rnacentral:rRNA from 1 species